GUGCUCGAUUCCGCAGCACAUCUACUAAAAUGGGAAAGAUAGAGAGAAGAUUAGCAUGGCCCCUAUGCAAGGAUGACAAAUUCUUGAAGCAAUCCAUAUUAAA